UACGGGUAUAUCACGUUGAAACACCGAUUCGCGUACGAUCCACCGAAGUUAAGCAACGUUGAGCCUGGUCAGUACUUGAAUGGGUGACCGCUCAGGAAUACCAUGUGCUGUAAG